rnacentral:rRNA from 1 species
GGGGGUGAAAUCCUGGAGCUCAACCUGGGAAUGGCACUGGAUACUGGCAAGCUAGAGUGUGGCAGAGGGUAGUGGAAUUCCUGGUGUAGCAGUGAAAUGCGUAGAGAUCAGGAGGAACAUCCGUGGCGAAGGCGACUGCCUGGGCCAACACUGACACUGAGGCACGAAAGCGUGGGGAGCAAACAG